UGGGGAAUAUUGCACAAUGGGCGAAAGCCUGAUGCAGCAACGCCGCGUGAAGGAAGAAGGGUUUCGGCUCGUAAACUUCUAUCAACAGGGACGAAAGAAAUGACGGUACCUGAAUAAGAAGCCCCGGCUAACUACGUGCC
rnacentral:rRNA from 1 species